rnacentral:rRNA from 1 species
AGUCGAGGGGCAGCAUUUCAGUUUGCUUGCAAACUGGAGAUGGCGACCGGCGCACGGGUGAGUAACACGUAUCCAACCUGCCGAUAACUCGGGGAUAGCCUUUCGAAAGAAAGAUUAAUACCCGAUGGUAUAAUCAGACCGCAUGGUCUUAUUAUUAAAGAAUUUCGGUUAUCGAUGGGGAUGCGUUCCAUUAGGCAGUUGGUGAGGUAACGGCUCACCAAACCUUCGAUGGAUAGGGGUUCUGAGAGGAAGGUCCCCCACAUUGGAACUGAGACACGGUCCAAACUCCUACGGGAGGCAGCAGUGAGGAAUAUUGGUCAAUGGGCGCAGGCCUGAACCAGCCAAGUAGCGUGAAGGAUGACUGCCCUAUGGGUUGUAAACUUCUUUUAUAUGGGAAUAAAGUUUUCCACGUGUGGAAUUUUGUAUGUACCAUAUGAAUAAGGAUCGGCUAACUCCGUGCCAGCAGCCGCGGUAAUACGGAGGAUCCGAGCGUUAUCCGGAUUUAUUGGGUUAAAAGGGAGCGUAGGUGGACAGUUAAGUCAGUUGUGAAAGUUUGCGGCUCAACCGUAAAAAUGCAGUUGAUACUGGCUGUCUUGAGUACAGUAGAGGUGGGCGGAAUUCGUGGUGUAGCGGUGAAAUGCUUUAGAUAUCACGAAGAACUCCGAUUGCGAAGGCAGCUCACUGGACUGCAACUGACACUGAUGCUCGAAAGUGUGGGUAUCAAACAGGAUUAGAUACCCUGGUAGUCCACACAGUAAACGAUGAAUACUCGCUGUUUUGCGAUAUACAGUAAGCGGCCAAGCGAAAGCAUUAAGUAUUCCACCUGGGGAGUACGCCGGCAACGGUGAAACUCAAAGGAAUUGACGGGGGCCCCCACAAGCGGAAGAACAUGUGGUUUAAUUCGAUGAUACGCGAGGAACCUUACCCGGGCUUAAAUUGCAUUUGAAUANUNUGGAAACAGNNUAGCCGNAAGGCAAAUGUGAAGGUGCUGCAUGGUUGUCGUCAGCUCGUGCCGUGAGGUGUCGGCUUAAGUGCCAUAACGAGCGCAACCCUUAUCUUUAGUUACUAACAGGUCAUGCUGAGGACUCUAGAGAGACUGCCGUCGUAAGAUGUGAGGAAGGUGGGGAUGACGUCAAAUCAGCACGGCCCUUACGUCCGGGGCUACACACGUGUUACAAUGGGGGGUACAGAAGGCAGCUACCUGGUGACAGGAUGCUAAUCCCAAAAGCCUCUCUCAGUUCGGAUCGAAGUCUGCAACCCGACUUCGUGAAGCUGGAUUCGCUAGUAAUCGCGCAUCAGCCAUGGCGCGGUGAAUACGUUCCCGGGCCUUGUACACACCGCCCGUCAAGCCAUGAAAGCCGGGGGUACCUGAAGUACGUAACCGCAAGGAGCUCCUAGG